rfam:Glycine max cultivar Williams 82 chromosome 8, whole genome shotgun sequence.
AGGGAUAUAACUCAGCGGUUGUGUGUCACCUUGAUGUUGUGGAAGUUAUCAGUUCAAGCCUGAUUAUCCAUA